GCUUAACACAUGCAAGUCGAACGAUGAAGCCUUUCGGGGUGGAUUAGUGGCGAACGGGUGAGUAACACGUGGGUAAUCUGCCCUGUACUUUGGGAUAAGCCUUGGAAACGAGGUCUAAUACCGGAUAUGACCUCGCACCGCAUGGUGUGGGGUGGAAAGCUCCGGCGGUAUGGGAUGAACCCGCGGCCUAUCAGCUUGUUGGUGGGGUAGUGGCCUACCAAGGCGUCGACGGGUAGCCGGCCUGAGAGGGCGACCGGCCACACUGGGACUGAGACACGGCCCAGACUCCUACGGGAGGCAGCAGUGGGGAAUAUUGCACAAUGGGCGCAAGCCUGAUGCAGCGACGCCGCGUGAGGGAUGACGGCCUUCGGGUUGUAAACCUCUUUCGCCAGGGACGAAGCCUUUCGGGGUGACGGUACCUGGAUAAGAAGCACCGGCUAACUACGUGCCAGCAGCCGCGGUAAUACGUAGGGUGCGAGCGUUGUCCGGAAUUAUUGGGCGUAAAGAGCUCGUAGGCGGUUUGUCACGUCGGCCGUGAAAACUGGAGGCUUAACCUCCAGCUUGCGGUCGAUACGGGCAGACUUGAUUUCGGUAGGGGAGACUGGAAUUCCUGGUGUAGCGGUGGAAUGCUCAGAUAUCU
rnacentral:rRNA from 1 species